AUAUGCUUUAAUUUUAUAUAUUUUUUAAAUUUAUUUAUUUUUAUAAAAAAAUUUAAUUUAUUCAUGAAAUUAGAUUUUUAAGAAGAUGUUAGCACCAUAAAUUAUCAAAAAUAUCUUCAAUAAAUAUAAAAAUAUAUCACUUAUCAUCGAGCCAAGAUAUUUCAACCAAAUGAGUGAGAAAAGCUAACUCCUAAUUAGAAAUGUCCCUAUCAAGUGGAUGAGGUCAUC
rnacentral:lncRNA from 1 species